UACGUAGGGGGCAAGCGUUGUCCGGAUUUACUGGGCGUAAAGCGCGCGUAGGCGGAACGAUCAGUCCGGUCUGAAAGCCCCCGGCUCAACCGGGGAGGGUGGCUGGAAACUGUCGUUCUUGAGGGCGAGAGAGGAGGGUGGAAUUCCUGGUGUAGCGGUGAAAUGCGUAGAGAUCAGGAGGAACACCCGUGGCGAAGGCGGCCCUCUGGCUCGAGCCCUGACGCUGAGGCGCGAAAGCGUGGGGAGCGAACGGG
rnacentral:rRNA from 1 species